rnacentral:tRNA from 1 species
GUCUGGGAUAGCUCACUUGGUAGAGCAGGGGACUCUUAAUCUCAGGGUUGUGGGUUCGAGCCCCAUGUUGGGCA